CGUAGGAGGCGAGCGUUAUCCGGAUUCACUGGGCGUAAAGCGCGUGCAGGCGGUUUGGUAAGUUGGGCGUGAAAGCUCCCGGCUCAACUGGGAGAGGUCGUUCAAUACUACCAAACUAGAGAGUAGGAGAGGAAGAUGGAAUUCCCGGUGUAGUGGUGAAAUGCGUAGAUAUCGGGAGGAACACCAGUGGCGAAGGCGAUCUUCUGGUCUAUUUCUGACGCUCAGACGCGACAGCUAGGGUAGUAAACGGGAUUAGAGACCCCGGUAAUCCUAGCCGUAAACGAUGUGAACUUGGCGUCGGUGGCUUAAACACCAUCGGUGCCGAAGCAAACGCGAUAAGUUCACCGCCUGGGGACUACGGCCGCGAGGUUA
rnacentral:rRNA from 1 species